UACGUAGGGUGCAAGCGUUAUUCGGAAUUACUGGGCGUAAAGCGUGCGCAGGCGGUGAUGUAAGACAGAUGUGAAAUCCCCGGGCUCAACCUGGGAACUGCAUUUGUGACUGCAUCGCUAGAGUACGGCAGAGGGGGAUGGAAUUCCGCGUGUAGCAGUGAAAUGCGUAGAUAUGCGGAGGAACACCGAUGGCGAAGGCAAUCCCCUGGGCCUGUACUGACGCUCAUGCACGAAAGCGUGGGGAGCAAACAGG
rnacentral:rRNA from 1 species